CUAUUAGCGACGGAAUUAAUAACAACAGAAAAAUUUUCAUUUUGCUUCACAGUUCCAAGCCCUAUAGCUAGAAUUAUCAACGGUGUUUUGGCUGUGGUGACUUACAUAAUUCCUCUUACAAUAAUGUUAUUCGUUUACAUUAUGAUUGCGUUCAAAGUGAAUAUUAGUGAGAAAGUAAACUCAAAAAAGAAGAUAUUUAAUCACAAGGACAAUAGGAAAAAAGUCAACAAACUCAUUGUAGCAAUAACGUUCUCCUUCUUUAUCUGUUGGCUGCCAUUUUUCUGGAACCGUUUACUUUUUUUCUUCUGUGACAUGAAACAACUCAUACGACUAGGUCGAGUUUGGGAAGGCAUUUACAAUACAUGUCUCAUAACCAACUGGCUCAGUAUCAUCUUAAAUCCUCUCCUCUUUAGCCUCAUGUCAUCUAAAUUCAGAAAAGCUUUAAAAAUGCUGUGGAAAACCAAAUUCAAAAGGCAGACUGAAAUCGUUUUAUCGUAAAAGUAAUUAGUAUAUUAUAUACGUGAAGAUAUGAUUAAUUUUUUAUGUUAUAUGUAGGCAUGUGCUAUAUUUUUCAUACUGUGCUGUAAAAUACUUGUACUUAUAAUAGGUAAAAGUUUAUUGUAAUAUAAAAACAUCAGAUGAAUCAAGAUAGUGUAGUGGGUAGACAUAUACUGUUAGAAAAAUAAACGAAGAUCAAGG
rnacentral:misc_RNA from 1 species